rnacentral:rRNA from 1 species
GCAAGUCGAACGAGAAAGCUCCUUCGGGAGUGAGCAGAGUGGCGCACGGGUGAGUAACACGUAGGUGACCUACCUUUUGGCGGGGGAUAACUCGGAGAAAUCCGGGCUAAUACCGCGUAAGCAAAGCAAAUUUGGAAAUAGCUUUGGAAAGGGUGCUUCGGCAUCCACCGAAAGAUGGGCCUGCGGGACAUUAGCUUGAUGGUGGGGUAACGGCCUACCAUGGCUACGAUGUCUAGCGGAUCUGAGAGGAUGAUC